AGACAGACUUUUCCACCGCGGUGAAAAAUCAUCUUUGUAUGAUUUGUUGUUCCUGCGCAUGGACCCAGAUGGCAGUGUAGCAGUCAGCGCAGACAUGGGGGAAGGAGCAGAGGCCCGAAUAGACGAGGUGGACAUGUCAGAACUUUUCGAACAUCUACAGACAUCUGCUUUAACUGUGGUCACUCUGGACACUGGGCCAGGGACUGUUUCGCAUCAGCAAGCCAGCCUGGCAUUGAGUCACCAAAUCCUGGCAUGAAGUCCCAAUACGUCCUCACCUCCAGAAGGUCAGUACCCCAGCAAGGGGAUAACGCUCCCAUGAACAAUAUUUCCGCACCCUGGAAAAGUGGCCAACGCUCAUGAACAGCGCAGAUCUCAAGCUGUCAGGGGGUCAAGGGAAGUGACUAUGAAUUUUUGCGCACAUUGGAGCCACCUGUUUCAUCAGACUCUGAGUUGUGAAAAGGGGACUUUGUCACUGAGGUGCUCGCAGAGACAUUACAGUGAUCAGCUCCUGCAACACUGGGGAAGAAAUGUGGAGUGUCACACAUGAAAGCCAUGAAUACGACGUCUUAACUCCGAUCUCAUGUCUGCCUGAAUCUGUUGCAUGUCAGUCCAAGUCCAUCUCAGGUGCCGCAGCCUGGUAUCAAACAUUUUUAAGGUAAUUCAGACAAUUAUUAUUAGCCAUAUACUACUGAACAAAUUUAAUGGCAUGUGAUAUUGGAUGACAUAUGUUCUCAUAUUUUUAUGUCUUGAGCUCCUAGGCAAACGAUCUGGAGCUGGUUAACACUUUCUAAAGGCAGCCGCUUGAGCAUACCCCAGCGCACAGGUUUGCGAUUUUAAAAAUAUAGUGAUGUCUAUUUACUUUUCUGUUAUAUAACUGAUAGGUCCUUUUAAACAUGAGUUUUAACCGUGUAGAUCACCAUUAAACAGCAGCAGGUGUUUUUUACUAUAUAUUCUAUGGGCAGACAAUCCACUGGGGUGGGAAUACUUUCACGUGCUCCACUUAUACUUUGGUUUCUGUGAGUUCUGGUUAAAAACUGCAUGUCAUAAAUUUCCGCAAGGGGGUAUGCGAACGUCCUGAGGAAACAGGUUUAUAGUGUUUUUCUGGAAUGCAGAGUGGGUGCCCUGGUGUCUACAUCCUGUGUUUUCACAAGAUACCAGGGACACAUGUUAGGUUACACAGCUGUGUUAGGUUAUUUCUUAAUAGCUCACACGUAUUGAGAUUUUUCUAUUUGUACAUAUAACUGUUGGCUGCUAAAACAUAUCAGAUUUUCACCAGAAUUUGCUACGUACUACCAGGUGUUUUAUUAUAACUUCGAACAUUCAGCUUUCUCACAAAACUGAAUUGCUGUGUGUCACGGAGACCAUAAACUCCUAGUUAUUAUUUCACUUCAAUACACUCAACUUAUGCAACUUCUGCCUGCUUCAAUUCAGAUAAUUAUUUGCAGUUAAUUGAUUCCCUGUGAUGACUAAUACUAUUCUUUGUUAAUUAUUUGUAACAAAAUUAAUUUUGUUCCAAGCAGAGGGAUAUGACAUAAACAUUUAUAUGAUGACACUGUAUCGUAAAGUUAUAUAGAUCUUAAACUUUAUAUCAACCCUUGGCACAAGUAAUUUGGACGAAGGGUUCUUGUGCAGGACCCCACGGAGGUAUGUAACUGCGUUGUAAAUCAGAUAACGGUUGUUUAAAAAAAAGAAAACCCCCCACAAAAGACCUUACCCAUGGCUCUCUGAAUGUUUGUUCAAUCAACUCCUAAGACACAGGCCGGAACCAUACAUUAGAUUUAAUGGGCAAGUGUCAGACACCACGUAUCUGCUAGAGACAGAUUCUAUGAGGGGGGUUCUUGGAAAAAGGCUUAAACAGUUUAAGAAGGACAAUAAAGUGAAUGUUAAAUGAAAUAGAAAAACUAUAUGAACUAGAAAAAACUGGAUAAAACAGAGAUAAACAGAGGGUAACUUAAUGCAUAUUUGGUGUAGUUUAAAAUCAUUGGUGUGUCAGGUAGGUUAGUUAAGGUUUCAAAGCCACGUAUAUCUGUUAAGUUAACUGGAUCAGGAUUUAUAACAACUAGAUAGAACGAUAAGUAACAAAAUAGGGGUUUGGUACAAAACAGUGCACAUCAAAUGAUGCAAAAAGGUGGAUGCAGGACUUUUUGACAUGAGGAUGACAUCUAUUGAAGGUAAACUAAGCGAGGAAUUCAUUGCAGGAUGACUUUAAAAGUGCUGUAAAAUGACCGGAUGAAGGUUUGCAUUUUCUAUAGGAUUAAAACAGGAAUUUUUUGCAGCACACAGAGUGGACAUCUGAAAUAAUAAUAGAGAUUACAGAAACGGUGUGUGAAGUGGUGCAAUCUAUGGCAAUUUUUGAAUCCAAAAAAGCAUUCUGACAUUCUUACAGGAAAAUGUACUUUGAUUUCAAACUAAAUUAACUAAUUUUUGAUUCCACAGACAUGGCGAUUCCCACCGGAGGUAUAAAGUUUUUGUGCAGGCAUUCUUUUGCAGGACAAUCAGAGGCCCAGCGUCAGGAAAGAGGAAUUGUGAUAAAGUGUCUCAUUAACUAUUACAUUUCUAAAAUAGGUUUCUCAUAGGAUGGAGAUGGAACAAUGGAAGGUGGUAAGGCUGUAUGGGGAGAAUUCUAAACGGACCAACGGGCUAAAAUUCUGUGCACAGACGAAAUUGAAAAUGGGGUCAAAAGCUUUAAUGUCUGUUUCUUGUGGGAGUGUUCAGUUAAUUUCAUUACAGGAUAUGAUUCCAUAUGACUGAAAGGAGCUUUUCGGGACCGAAGUCAACCUGCGGAAUUACAGGUAGCACAUGACAUUUGAUAUCUAAACGGUUGUCGUGUAAGUUUCAGGUUGUAUUGGAGACAUAAAAUUAGGAGAGUCCAAGAAUGUGAAGGGAGUCCACCGACCCCCAACCUCGAAGGAUGGGCGCUGAGGUCAUCAACAGACAGAUGUGGUGGGCCAGAGGUCAGGGGCCUUCACAUUCCAGGAGCCAUGUGUACCAGCCAACAGAGGGUUCAAGGGAACAACACAGGCCAGCCUUCGGGUCAGACUAGCUGACUGGAAGGGUUUUCAACUGCCACCCACCCGUGCCAUCCGGCGACGAGAGCUGCUUGACGCGCCGAUAGCCACUCAAAAGGGGCGAGGAGAAGACAUCUCUAAGACGCAAGACAUCAUGACAACAAUUGAAUGCAUUGUGUAAAAAAAAGGAAAAAGAAGUUUGUAAUCACUGCAUAUG